rnacentral:misc_RNA from 1 species
CUACCCCUCAAGCGCGGCUUGUGUGUUGGGCGCUGUCCCCCCCCGAAAAAGGGGGGGGACAGGCCUGAAAGGCAGUGGCGGCGUCGCGUCCGGUCCUCGAGCGUAUGGGGCUUUGUCACCCGCUCUGUGAGGAUCCGGCCGGGGCCUGUCUCACCCCCAAUCUUCUCUAA